CGGGGUUUCACCGUGUUAGCCAGGAUGGUCUCGAUCGCCUGACCUUGUAAUCCGCCUGCCUCAGCCUCCCAAAGUGCUGGGGUUACAGGCGUGAGCCACCGCGCCCGGCCGAGACACUCUUUAAAUUGGCAUUCAUGGCUCUGUAGACUCCUACAUAAUUGUUUCUUUCCUCUGUUAUUUACUCACCUAUUCUAUCAGAGAAGCUGAUUCACAUUUCUGCCACAAUACAUUGUGCAGCAAAUUCAUGGAAAUGUGCUCCUUUCUUUUCUGAAUUAAACUCAAUUUGAAAAUCCCAACCUUCUCUAUGAAGCAUCCUUAGCAAUCCCAGCCCACCAGACUCAUCUCUUUUAUCUAUGUGGAAAGUAACAGAGUAAUCAUUAUUUAUGGGAUUCAUUUGACAUUAUUGCUGACUGCCUUAUUUUGCAGUCUCCUUGGUAUGUAUUUUCAAUGUGCUCCGUAUUUUCACUGUUCACACACAGAGGUCAUCUUGUGUUGCUUAGGUAGUAGCAUAGGGCUCCCAUGCAUAACACAAUGCCUACAUGUGACAGGUGCACUUGGUAAGUGUUUUGAUUGACUAAUGUGCACCUCUCUCUUCACUGGGUUUCCUCUUGCCAUCCUGCCCUUCAUAUUAUUUUGAAUCCUCCAACCUAGAUAUUAAAUAGACCCUUCCCCUGAACUCCACCCAGAUAUUCCUGCUUCUAUUCAUCCCAGAGAUUCCAAAUUGUAAUGUCUGUCUUUGCCCUGAAUACCAGCACAAGCCAUCAAAGUAAUAUUGUGUAUUUGGCUGUACACGUGGGCAUUUGUGUCUAAGAAAAUAUCAUAAAGCACUGAUCUACUAUUACAGCCUCCAUGGUUUCAGAGAAACGAAUUCACUGCCUUGCACCUCCAUCUACCUCAUUCAUGUAAUUGUUGUUUCUGUUGGAUAAACCCUCAUGACUCUUCUAGCUCUAAAACACAUAAUAUUUUAUGAAUAACUGUGUAUAGGUAAUAUUUCUUGAGUAUUAACUUUCUGCUAAAUUUCAUCAUAUAAAAUACAGCAGUCCAUGAAGUAGGUGCUCUUAUUAUUCCCAUUUUUAAGAUUAGAAAAUUGAAAAAGAGAGGUUAAGUAACUUGCCCAUGGUCGGGGAGUUAAUAAGCAUCAGAGGUGAGCUUCAAACCCAGGCAGAAUGAUGCCUUAAGCACUGGGAACACUAUUCCACUGCAAGGAAAUACCAGACUGAGCAUUUCAAUCUAUUCCUUUUCAAUACUGACUUCUCAACUGCAGUGGAGAAAAUGUAAUUAAAUAAUAUCCAAAUUAGAAAUUAUUUAAUGUGACUUUAAAAUGCUUUUAACUAGAAGGAUGAGUGGGGCAGGGCUUACUCGAUGCCCCAGGAGUUUUCUUUCUUUGCAAAGGUAACUUCUGUUGCUUAAAAUAGAUGAUUGCAACAUAUUCCAGAUUGUCAAGUGAGGCUUGCUUCCUUUUCUCUGGCUGUUAGGCUUUCAGUCAGACAAGGGUAUGCGUUCCAAAGAAGGUGUACAAUCUCCAUAAAGAAAGUGAUGUUGUAAAAUACAUAUUAAAGAUAUUUAUGGGUUCCAACCAAAGGCUCCUUGGCUGGUGGUUUGGAUUGAUUUCGAGGUGCGGCUGAUGGAAGCCCUUCUUAGAUGUUCCCAGAACUGGUGUGGUUUGGCGCCCUAAUGGCCUAAGUUCAACAAGGCACCGGAGUCAGAGCACAGAAUGCAGAUUUCCUGGUCCUGCAAAUGAUGGCCCCCAACCUUUUGCCUUAGGAAGCCUUUAUUCAACACAAAUAACCCUUAUUGUGCAUUGAGGAUGAACAUAAUGCAAAUUAAAAAUAGACAACGUAUACAGAAUGAUAAAUGUAAAUGCAAACGCAAUGUCUGUAUUCUUUAAUUGCAAUUUUUCCUGAUACCCAGCCAUAUUAUGUGUAUUCACUGAAUAGCAAGAAAGAAAAUAAUACUGAACAUAAAAUGCCCUAGUUGGAAUUUUUUAUAUCUGUGUGUCCCCACAAAAUAAACAUCUUUAUGUUCACAAUAUUUUGUUUGAUAAAGCUAAAAUGUUCUAACACUAAAAACUGCUCUCUAAUCUAAUGAUAAAUAACCACAAGUCCAGGGAAUAAUUAAAUAUACAAAAAAAAGAUCCAAGUCUGCGCUCGCAUCAGUAAAAGGAUGGCAAUUAAAGUAAGUGAUAGCUAUAAUUACGCACACAUAACUAUAUUUCAACAAAUGAACAAACAGAUAAUUAUUUCUGGGAAGCAGAGGUAGCAUGCAGAUACUGGCAUUCAAAAGAGAAAUGUUUCCUAGAAAAUAACACUGUUUCUGAUUCAAUUAGAACUUUAAGUUAUUUUAAACAUUUAUUUUCAUCUUGUGCCCUUAUUUAGAAAGUGCAUUGGCUGCACUUUGUAAGUUAUGAACCUGUACUAAUAAUUGCUUUAAGAGUUAUCAUGCUCAUGUAUACAUCACAUUCUGCACAUGUGUAAUGUUUGUUCAAUUUCUAUAAUACUGACGAGGCAGUUUUUCUGACUCUGCCCUCUGUAUGGGAUUUACUGGUUCCUCCGUAACAAACAACAUUGUUUCAAUCAGCAAAUGCUUACUCAGGGCCUAAGUAUAAAGGGUAUUGUGCUGGAUGUUUUAAAAAUCAUGGGGAAAGUUCCAGGCCCCCAGAAAUUCAUGGCGCUCACAAGAGUAGAUCAGCAUAAAUGUGUCAAGUUGCUUUGAAAGAUUGAAUUUCCAAUUGAAAUAAUUUUCCUUUUGCACGCAUAACUCUUGAGAUUUUCAAGUGGUUUUUACUUAAUGACAGCAUAGAACCAACUUUAUUUUAAAAAUUGUAAGUGUGUUAAGGGAGAACACAGAAAUCUGUGUUGCAGGCUUUGGCCGUACACACUAUGUGUUACAUGCUGAAGUUUAGAACCCUGAUACUCCUAAAGAAUUUAUAUUAUUAAUUUCAUGGAUCCUAUUUCACAAACAUCUCCAUUUUGGUCUAGAGGGUUUCUGCUUGUUUCCUUGGUUUUUGGUUAUGUUUUGAUAUUUAGAGUAUGACUUGCCGUUUUUAUUAUUAUUAUUAUUAAGUUUUUUAGGAUCAUUUCCGAAGCUGUAGUUUUUGCCUUUUGCCUCAAAACACAGAAAACUUAAAUAUUUUGGUGAAGAGAAGUUCCCUUUCUCCAUCUCUUUCUUCCUCCUUUUUUUUUUAAAUUGCAGAAUUGUAACAACCACACAAAUAAAAUAAAGAAAUAGAACACUGGCAGCUCUGCGGAAGCUCCUGUAGUCAUCUCUCCAAAUCGCUACUGGCCUUCCCCUCCAAAUGAAAUUGCCAUCCUCACUUUGUGGCAGUCCGUUCUCCGAGCACCUCUUCCUUUUCAGGCGGGUCUGUAAUUCUAGAGUGUGUGUAGUAGUAUUGCCCUGGAGUCUUCAGUUACAUUUCUCUAGUUACUAAUGAGGUUGGACUCCAUUAAAAUUGUUUUUCUAAGUGGUAUUCACAUAUUCUGUCCAAUUUUCUUUUCAGCUGUCUUUUGUUUUUAAUUUAAAUAAACGUUGAAUAUUAGCCUUUGUUGGGUAAAUGUGUUAAAAAUAUUUUCUCCCUAUUUAUGUUUUUUUUUUUCUUUUUUCUUUAUGGUUAAAACUUUUGUGUCUUGCUUAACAAGCCCUUCUUUCCUUUUAUGAAGUAAGAAAGAUACUCUCCUAUUGUUUCUUCUAUCCAUUUUAUGAUUUGACAUUUGACAUACAGAUCUAUAAUCUAUCAGGAAUUGUUGUGUGUAUAGCAUUAGGCAGAGUCGAGUUUCACUGUUUGCUCCACAUGGAUAGCAAUCAAUUAUUCUUCCCCAGUGCUCUCACAUGCCAAUUUUGUCAUAAAUUAAGUGGCUAAUUAUGCAAGCUGGAGUAAUAUUAUUUUCUUUCUCCUUCCUUCCUAUUCUCUGAAAGCGUGUACGUGACAUUGGAGUUAUUUAAUCCUUAGAAUUUUGGAAACAUUUAGUGGAGAAACCAUCUGAUUCUGGAAUUUUCCUUGUAGGAAGGCAUUCAAUUACAAAUUCCAUUAAUUUAACAUUUACGGUGUUAUUUAGCUUUCCUACUUCUUUUGUCCAUUUUCGUUAGUUCUUUUUUUUUUAAGAAUGUAUUUGUUUAUGUAAAUUUGUAAAUUUAUCUUGGUGUAAAACUGUUUGUAAUAUUCUCUUACUAUUUUUAAUUUCAGCCAGAUCUGUAUUGAUGUCCCCUUUUCAAUCUAAAAUCUGUUAUUUGUGCCAAUUUUCUCUAUUUCUCUAUCCCCUUGCAAGAAAAUUUUCAAUCUUAUUGUUUUCAAAGAUAAUUUUUUAAAAGAUAAACAACUUUCUCUUUCCUUCCUUUCUAUCCCUUCACAUUAUUUUAUUUGUUUUAUAUUUCAAUAACUUAUGUUCUUAUUAUCACUAUCAUAUCUUUCCUUCCAUUUUCAUAGUAUUUAGUUUUUGUUCUGUUUCUAAUUUCUAGACCCUUUUAACACUCAUCGUAUUUGUUCUCUUGUGAUGCAAAGGUUUGAAGCCAUACAUUUCCAUUUCUUAAGAGAUCUUUUGCAGUAACAUGGAUGGAACUGGAGGCCAUUAUCUUAGGUGAAAUAACUAAGACACAGAAAGAAAAAUGCUACAUGUUCUCACUUAUAAGUGGGAGCUAAAUAACGUGUACACUUGGGCACAGAGUGUGGAAUAAUAGACACUGGAGACUCAGAAGGGUGGCAAGGUGGGAGGAUGGGAUGGAAUGAAGCAUAUGAAACGACUUAAUCAGGACAAUAUAUACUAUUCAGUUGAUGUGGACACUAAAAGCCCAGCCAUGGCCACGAUGCCAUACAGCCACAUAUUGACCAUACCGACACUGUACCCGAGCCCCUUCCACUCAUACACAAAAGACAUUAGACAUGUCCUAAAAGUUCUGUUGUCAUAUUUGCAUUGUCAUUAGUUAAAAUAUUUUGCUUUUUAAUUUAUUUUGUGAUUUCUUCUUGAAUACAUUGAUUACUUAGAGAUUUUAUUUUAUCUUAUUUUUUUAGACAAAGUCUGGCUCUGUCACCCAGGCUGGAGUGCAGUGGCGCGAUCAGGGCUCACUGCAAACUCCGCCUCCUGGGUUCAAGCAAUUCUCCUACCUCAGCUUUCCGAGUCGCCGGGAUUAAAGGCAUAUACCACCAAGCCCAGCUGAUUUUUGUAUUUUUAGUAGAGAUGGGGGUUUCACCAUGUUGGCCAGGCUGGUCUCGAACUCCUGACCUCAGGUGAUCUGCCUGCCUCGGCCUCCCAAAGUGCUGGGAUUGCAGGCGUGAGCCACCGCGCCUGGCCUAGAGAUGUAAUUUUUGACGUUCAAAUAUAUGAGCACUGUUUUUGCUGCUUUUUAAUAUUUGCACAUUGUAUCUUUUUCUUUUCUAUCCCUUUACAUUUACUCUUUCAGAAUCCUUAUGUUUUACUGUUUUCAGAAAACUUAGUUUUUAAAAUAUUCUGCUAAUCAUUUUUCAUAUAAGUUUACAUUAAAUAAGCCUUUUAAAGUUUAUUAUAAUUAAAUAAAGUUUAUUUUCACAUGUGUUUUCAUAUCUACUGUCUCAGAACUUUCUCCUUGCCCUAUUUUUCCUAUUUUAUCCCCUUUUUGCAUCUUUUGAGUUGACUUUUUAUGAUUUUAUUUUUCUCUCUUUACUAGUUUGGAUAUUAUCUACCCCACUAAUAUUCUUUCAGGGGUUACCUUUGAGGUUACAACUGGCAAGGUAGGUUUAUCAGUGUAUAAUAUUAAAUAUUAUUUUACCCCUCCAAAUUUUACUGCCUUUUUAGUUAUUCUUUAUUCUUUCCUUUAUCUCUAAGCAUUCUGAGUCUGUCAGUGUUUAAUUCCUUUCAUUUUUAUUUUUUUUCCUAAAAAUAUCCUUAACUCCCUUUCAUUAUUACAGGAAUUUUUGGGGGGCAGUUAUUUUAUUUGAGCAUGUUAACUAUGUUAUUUCAUUGUCUUUGGACUUCAGUUGCUACUUUUCGAAGAUAGUACAUAUUUUUACCUCUAACUGCUUUUAAAAUUAAUUCUCGGUCUUUAUUUUAUAGGUGUUUUACUAUGAUACACCUAGGAAAGUUUUAUGUAUCCUACUUAGGCUUUGCAAAGGUUUCUGUUUCAUUUUUACAAACGUUGGAUUGAUUAUGGUGUAAUUUAGAGACAGUGAGAUUCACCUUUUUUAGACAUACACAUCUGUGCAUCUGCAGACAUGAGCACUCCAGGUUGUCUAUAACACCACAUGUCCUUCUGAACUUCAUCUCCUGCCAUUACGCCCAGCCUCCAGCAACCACUCAGCUGUUUUCUGUCUCCAGCUUUGCUUUUCCCCAAAUGUUACAUAAGCAGGAUCACACUUAGUCUUUUGAUUUUUUUUUUUUAACCUCAACACAAUGCUUUAGCCAUCCCUUUUUUUUAUGAUGCUCAUUAUAGUUGAUCACUCUUAUUUAUUGCAGGCUUCAUCCAUGUGCUAGUUCAGCCUGUGAGAUGCUGGUGAGCCCACCUCCAGGCACUCACGGACUCCCCACCCAUUGAGUGUGGCCUGGAUUUAGUGACUCAAUCAAACGUGACAGAGUGCUGGGGUGUCAUUUUCAAGACUGGGUUAUGUGAAGACUGCAGCCUCCAUCUGGGGUGCUCUCUCUUGGAUUGCUUGCUCAGGGAUGUGGGGAGAGCUGCUGUGCUGGGAGGCUGCCCAUGUGAGUUGACUUGGAUGUGAACCUUCUGUGGCCUGCCAAUAGCCACGUGAGUGACCUUGAAAAUGGAUCAGCCUUCACUCAAGUCUCAAGAUGACUGUGGUCUUGGCUGACAGCUUGAUUGCUGUCUCAUGGGGGACCUUAAACCAAAGGCACCCUGCUAAGCCACACACAGCUUCCUGGCCCACAGAAACUAUGAAAUAAUAACCAUUUCUUAUAUAAGCCUCCAAGUUUUGGGAGUAAUAUUUUGCACAGUGAUGGAUCACUAAUACAAGCCAGUCAUCAGUUGAAAGACACUGAAUUUAUUUCCAGUUUUAUGUGAUUAUGAAUAAUGUCACCAUAUGCAUUUGCAUACAGGUGUUUGUGUGGACACUGCUGUCAUUUCUCUUGGGAAGAUACUGAGGAGUCAGAUUGCUGGAUCCCGUGAAGAAUGUGCACCUGGGAUUGGCUCUUGCUUCCUAAGGAACCUCAAAAAAGCUGCAACCUAUUGGAGACUUUUGAUUCAGCAUCAAGGAUAUGCGUGAGACUUUGGUUCUUUUCUGUUGGGACACAGUUGAUUCUGACUGUCUUAAAGUUAGGCUUUUCUAAAGAUUUAGACUAAUAAAUUAUUUGAAUGGGACAACACACAUCAUUUGCUUUAUUAUACUUUAAAUAUGGCAGAACGGUGUAUUACCACCCCAAUCCCAAUCACCGGUACCUCCAUAGGCAGAGAUGUUAUCCUUAUUUUGCUGAAGAAGGAAUUAGGGUUACUCAGAGUCAUGCAGUUGGAAAGAGAUAGAAU
rnacentral:lncRNA from 1 species